rnacentral:rRNA from 1 species
UACGUAGGGUGCAAGCGUUGUCCGGAAUUAUUGGGCGUAAAGAGCUCGUAGGCGGUCUGUCGCGUCUGCUGUGAAAACUCGGGGCUUAACCCCGGGCCUGCAGUGGGUACGGGCAGACUAGAGUGCGGUAGGGGAGACUGGAAUUCCUGGUGUAGCGGUGAAAUGCGCUGAUAUCAGGAGGAACACCGGUGGCGAAGGCGGGUCUCUGGGCCGUAACUGACGCUGAGGAGCGAAAGCGUGGGGAGCGAACAGG